ACUGAAGGAUUUUCUUUAUCUCAUCUCAGUAUGUUUUCCCUGUGUUGGCCACUGAUGCUCACAACAGAGAGGAUGAGGGAGCAGUAAACAUGGUAAAAGCAUCAAGUGGAAAGUUGAGACAAAGCACAAUGCCACAGCUAACCAGUGUCAGAGGAACCACGUAGAGCUGGGCAGAUGAUGUGUCACUCCAGAGCUUCAGCCAUGCCCCUGGAUGUAUUUGUAGCUGCUAUUCUGCAUCUGUUUCACAACAUCACUGUGUAUCUCCAGAGACCUCUCUGCUUCCUCCUCCCAUCUCAUUCUCUGUGCCUCAAAUACUCCUAUUAUAUUUGGAGCAAAAUAGAUUUACUAGCUAUGGAAAGGUCUCUAGAUCUAGAACACCGACCAUCUCUUCCCCCACCACUCCUAAUCUGAUAAUUGAUUCACUACAGCAUAAAGACAGGACUGGCUGCAGCAGGACCAGCUCCAGAGGUGCCCUCAUCUUCCCAGAACCUGUGCUCUUGGUCUGUCCUCAGGCCCAGGGCCUGCCAGGAUCUUCUCAGUUCCAAAGUGAAUUUUACCUGCUAGUGCAAAGGCUGUCUGUGAGGCCUGAAGGCAGAUCGAGCACAUCUUCAGGUCCUACAACCACGGCUGUGUUUCCACUUACUGACACUGAAAAUGACUCCACUAAACUCACUGGAUCAAAUAAAGUGUUCAUGCAUCAAGACCGGUUCCAAAUAAGUGGUGAGGUUUUAAAUUGGGCUAUGGAGAGCUGCUCAGCCUUCUGAGCAAAUUCUUCCUCCCAUUUGCUGACCAAUAUCUCAUCUGCAGGGGCUGCUGCGUGUUUUCCCUAGCCAGAUAAAGGUCAAAUGCACACAGGUAUCUUGCUAAGGAAAUCUCACCUCUUGCAAUGAAAGAGAAAACAAGGACAGGUGUGAAUCAAACAGCAGGCUCUGCCCACAUACCAUCCCCUCCAUGGCAAAUGUCUAGGGCUCUUGUUUUUCAAGAAUGUCAAAGACACACCAAAAGGUGGUGGUAGUGUCAAUUUUGCAGCGAAUAACCUGUCCUAGAACACAUUAUUGUUGGUUGCACAUUGAACCCUGAUGAGCUGCACCUGUGGCUGUUGUAGCAAGUUAUGUGAAAGCUGAGAACAGGAUAGAGAAUCACAUCCUUUAAGUCAGCAGGCAGAAAACUGAUUUGGUUUUAUCUUGUUCUCCAUUACUAUUCCUGUUAUUUUCCUAAAGUGAGGCUGAGGUUAUCUCAGGCUGGCCAUUUCUAAAGCAUGCUGAUGUAUGACAGAGUAUAGCCAUUUCAUUUUAUCUCCAGACAGGGCUUUCUAACUAUACACAUCUAUUAAUGCAACUAUAGAAGGUAACAGUGUACAAAAAUGUGGAUUAUAAUUCAAUAUUUUUAAAUUCAAAUUAAUCCAAGGGGAAAAUAUACAGUUAUCCAACUAUGUAUUCCUUUUCCAAUCAAUUGUUUUGAUCAACAAAGGAAAGCUUGACUUGCAAUGGUUGUUUCCAGCCAUUAUGCUUAUAGUAAACAAGCAUCCUGCUUUUUCAGAGACUCAGUGACAGACAUGGCAAAAUGGAUAUAUUUAAUUUCGAGACAAAAGUGUAAUAUCAUGAUCUUUUUUAGGAAGAUAACUGAAGUGUACACAAUGAAAACAUUUCUUAAUGUUCUACAUAUUGACUUUAAUCACUAGAUGCAAUGUAGAAUUGUGUUCUUUUCACUGGUAACAAGUAGUGAUUCACUGACCUGAUGUGAUUCACAUACCUUGCCAGCAACACGUUUUGGGUUUUGUUUUUUUAUUUUGUUUUAACUUUGAAUUAUUUAAUGCAUCAGAAUAAAUUGGACUCAGUGUGGGUUUAAAACUUAAUUUAAAACUUUCACUCAAGAAAGACUUUUCAAAACUGAAAUUAAAAACCCAAUUUAUUUUUAAGUCAUUGAUUUUUUAUCCAUCCUGCUGUUUCUCUUCAUUAAGGGAAGAAUGACUCUGAUGCCUCAACAGAACAGAAACUCUGAUCUUUCUCCUGGGCCUCUGUUUCCUCUUUAUACUAAUACUAAAUAUGAAGGGUCUACGGAAUCUCAAAUGAGGAAAAGAAACGCGUUUCUAAGCUGGAUAGGGGAGGGAUUAAGCCAGGGAAGUAGCCUAGGGGAGAGUGGAGCUACAUAAACAGAGAGACACCCCGAGGCAGCUCCUAUCACCAUGAGCUUCCCCGGGCUGAGCAGCAAUUACCCUCAGCCCUGGGUCUGGGCCGUACCUCCAAAGCCACAAUCACACCUACUCUUAGGGCUGCUUUCUUCUAAAAUAGUACAAUUACAGCCUUAGCCACCAAAACCCAGCAGAAGUUGUUUUUGAUUCUGUUUGGAUUACUGUUAUCUUGUGAGAAAGCCAGGGAGUGCCCUAAUUAACAUGGGAAUAAGCUGAUGCUUAAAUUCAAUUUCCUUCGUGAUCACAUUCACUGGAAGAAUCAUUGGUAGGAGAAGAUACAGUUCUGUACUUAUUAUUUAAGCUGACAAAUGCUACCCUUGCAGCUUUUCCUCAUGCAAACACCUGCAGAGAAACAGUGCCUCUUGUAUUCAAAACAAAAGCUCUUUUAUGGCUUUCUGUCACAUGAACUGUCCAUUUCGCACAUUUUAUUAAAAAAAUCCAGGACACAUUUUUGGCCUAUUUUUACAAAUUUCAAAAUUAAGUAUUGAAAAGGGUGUUUAGUAGCAACUUGCUGGUAAAGAUUGAAACUCACAAAGAAUUUCAGGAACACAAGGUGAUUAUAACAUCCAGUCCUGCAACAAAACAGAGCCUCAGAGAUUCCACAGGUGUCUGCCUGUGCAGGAGGCAGUGAUGACUUUAGGGUUUGUAGCCUCAAAAGACUGAUCUGGAAACUCUAGAUUGUUGAAAAAAAACCAAAAAAACAAAAAAACAAAAAAAACACCCCACAACCCUGCUCUUCAGUCCUUAUGACUGUAGGAACAUUACUGAUUCUGUUUUAGGAGCACCUCAGAAAGAACUAAAUACCAGGUGAAAAAUUGUCUAUUUGUCAAAACUUUCCAGAGCAUUUCAAGAGAUACUGUUUGAUGUAUGGGUAAUUUCCACACCUACACAGCAAAACUCAUUGUCAGAGCUGACUCAGGGUGAAAAGAAAAUCUACUAAUUAGGAAAGGAAAUGGCAAUAUGAAGAUGUCCUUCAGAGAAGGAAGAAAGGAGGUCAUUGAAACAUCCAGCUGUGCACAUGAACCCUGUCCUGUCCAGCACUCAGCCAGCCAAGUCCUUUUGGUUGUCCACAGGUUGGCUUGCCCCGGGAUUCCAGCCCCUCCACAUCUCUCCCGUUCUGCUGCAGUCCUCUGAAGUGCACAAUUAAAUUAAAUCAUUUGGGGAAAAGAAAGAGCCAAACUCUCAAGAUCUGUUAGCUGAGAUAGCUGCUUAGUUUGGCCCAGGCUAAACUGCAGCCUGCAUUGUGAUGCUCCAGCUCCCAUCCCUCAGCACUCUCCUCCCCAAGGGAACACCCACCAGGAAUGGUUUAUCCUUCCCAUCCUCUGCUGGACAGGGGUGAGCAAACAGAGCAAAAGCCUUGUGGGUCAAUACUGCAAAAUAAAGAGUAAACCUUAAAACAUCUCUCCCUCACCCUCCCUUCUUUCCAGGCUUCCCUUGACUUCUAAAUUCUCUUUCCCCACAACCUUGGCCAGAGGUGGAUCUCUCUUGGACCUCUGUGGGACAGGGGGGAGUGUGUGGCAGCUUCUCACAGAAGCCACCUCUGGAGACCCCCAAAAGCCUGCCACACACACCCAAAAUACCUGUGGAACCUGACAGCAGCAGUCUCUUCACUAUUUCUACUCCACUGGGAAAGAAAAGUGUACAGAGAGCGGAAUUUUUAAAAAACAAACUAAUGAAAAAGAAAUUACGGAUGAAUAAAUGAAAGAAAGGAAGAGGAUAAAGACAAGGCGGGGGGAAAUGAAGGAAGGCAGGGAAAUAAAUCUAGCAAGGUUUAAAAUUACAAGGAAAGAAGGAAGGGAUUUAAAAGGAUAAUGAAAUACUGACAGAGAUAAAAUUUAACAAAUAAAAUGCAUGGGGAAAAAAAAGGGUGGGACUUAUUGAAAUUUUUUUUAAAAGGUGAAAAAAUGAAAGAAAAUAAAGAAGAUGAACAUAAGAUACACAGGUCUCAGUUACUGUCACAUUAUAGGCAGAAAUCCAGAAUGGCUUUCUUAAAGCUGCACUGUGAAUCAAAAACUGGAUCUCAAUCUCUAUUCAUUUUCAGCAAGAAAAUCAUUACUCUUUUCAUGUUACUCUUCUUCCAAAAAAUCUGACUGGAAACUUCCAACUAUCCUACAAACUGCAAGAAUUUUUGACUUGAAAAUGAAAUUUUACAAAUUCAUUUUCAUACAAGUACUGUAGCUUCACAUCAAAAUACCUACGACAGCUUUAAGAACACUAUCAACCUUCCUUUGGCAAAGAAAACCAAAAAAUCUCAAAAGGUUUGCUUGGAAAUGCUUAACACUUAUAGGGAAAGCUGGCACUUUUCCAAAGAUGUUUUUGUUACCCUCACACAAAAAAGGAAAAGGCAGCUGAAUGAUCACAUUUCAAGUCUAGUAGAAAUUAGAUCCUAGAUGUCUUCACCACCUGCUCAGCAUAAUUUGUUUAUUAUUCAUUCAGGUAACAUCAUCUUCCUUCAGUGGUUUCUGUGAAAACCAUUCCAAAAAGCCAUUCCUAAACCUAGAGAAACAUGUUGAAGAAUUGCUGCAGAGGCAUGUAUUAGAGUUUUUUCAGGGAAAUCAAUUUUUUAAAAUUUUGUUUUAUCACUUCUGGGAAACAUCUUGGCCAAAGCAACUUUUUAUACUUGAUCAUUUAUUAUGGUAUUUCUUUCCUUAGUAGGUUUUUCAGUAUGUGUAAAGGACUGGGAAUUUACCUGUGUUAUUUUCAGGAUAUAGAGGAUGGGAGUUCAAGGAAAAAUAUUGGUGGUGAGGGCUUGUAGCAGGAAUGUCAUAGAAAUUCUUAUUCUUGUGAUCAGCUCCAUUUCAGGGCUGUUAGCCAGACCUCUUGUAAUAAAUAUAGGCUUUCCUAAACAGGAAACCUCAGAAAAAUUCAUUUGAAUGAACUGUAGCUGUGAAUUAAUGUUCCCAAGUGCCUUUACACAGACAUGCACUUAGGGGUUUAACAGACCACAGUGCAGUAGAGUUUGGGGAUGUCUGAUAUAGCUGGGAGAUACCACAACCUCAGCAGUAAUUAUUUUUUAACAACAUUUUUCAAAUUGGAAGACUCAUACUGCUUUUAGUAUCUUCAAUGCUUCAAUUUCACUUAAGCUGUGCUUGUUUUUAUCCUUGAGAGACCCAAGGUAAUGAAGUAGAGAAAUGGUUUUUCCUAGUACUGCUUGGAAACAAGGAAAAAGACUCCAUUACCAUAAAAACCACCAAUGCAGAACCUGAAAGAUGGAAUUCUCGUCCCUGAGGGCUCUCCCCAGAAUGAGGAGCAGUGAGCAUUUCUGUGUUUUGGAGCUGCCUGUACAGACAGAGGGACAGAGGCUCGGUGAGGACUCUGGGUCAGUUAUGAUCCUGUGCCCAGAGCUCGGCUGUCCUCGCUGCUCAGUGCUGCACGCCACCAGCUCUGGCAUCAUUUCACAGAUCUGGUGCUAGAACUGCACUCUGUAGUCCCUGUG
ensembl:lncRNA